CAGUAGUAAAAUUGCUGAGGUUGGGAGGUACCUCAAUAGAUCAUCUAGCCCAACCUUCCUGCUCAAGCAGGGUCAGAAAAGUUACCACAGGGAUAACUGGCUUGUGGAGGCCAAGCAUUCAUAGCGACGUCACUUUUUGAUCAUUCAAUAUCGACUCUUCCUGUCACUGUGAAGCAGAAUUCACCAAGCAUUGGAUUGUUCACCCACUAACAGGGAACGUGAGCUGGGAUUAGACCGUCAUGAGACAGGUUAGUUUUACCCUACUG
rnacentral:ncRNA from 1 species